ensembl:lncRNA
UGUCAACUGGGUGUCAUCACACAGACAGAACUAACUCUUAUAAUAAAAAGAGUUAAAGUCCCAGAGUGCAUUGGUGUAAGAGCCAUCGAAUGAAAGAGCUUCAGACUCUGUUGCCGGGCAGCAGCUUCUGAUUAUGAUGUAAUCAUCACAUCACUCCUGUCGAUGGAGUUGUCUCCAUAGCAACAGAAGCUGAGGCACAUGGGUAAAGUAGUUUUUGGAAACAUUUAGAAAUAUGAUUUGGAAAUACAUGAAUGUGUAUAUUUACAUAUACAUAAAUAUAUAUUUAAGUGAACAGUUCUCUUCAAUGUAAAUGAGAAUCUACUAAAACUCUUUAACAGUCUUAUUUUAAGGGAGCUUCUUGGAUCCACGUUUUUAUGGAUGGAAGGCAGCGCAGGUGCGAAGCAGACAAGAAGUCAGAGAAUGGUGACUUCCGUUUUGUCAGUGUGCCGGUAGACAGGCGAACAGGUGAACAGAGAUCUGGUUACAACCGAAGAGCCGAAUUGAAGAGGAGCUCGUGACAGCUGGAGGACACCACACCUUUAUGACGUCACCGUGGAGCCCUGCCGCCACGAGCCGGGUGGACUCAAAGUGACCCGCUUCUCCGCGGAGGCUCCUACCUGGCCGUCCUCCGCCGGGGAUCGAACCCGCGGACCUGCCGCCGCCCUCCGGUCCGCUGAUCGUCUCACCUCAGGUGUGAUCGAUCGAUAGAAUCACUGCUCCCAUCCGGGAUCAGACGAGCCGAUCGGCGCGGCCGCCCCGAUGAUCGAUCAUCGCAGAUCGAUGGUGUGAUCGGAUGAAGGAUCCUCGCUCUUCAUCUUCCUUCUCCUCCUCUUCCUCCUCAUCGAUAAAGCAGCAGCCUGAAUGAGGAGCCGCUCCAUCAGCACCGCGAGGCGCGCUCACAACGACUCGGGAAUGCGCACGUCCGCGCGCACGGACUCGCAUGUGUUGACGGAUCAAACAGAUCGAUAAUCACUUAUUUUAAAUGGAAUAAUCAUUAAAUAAACGCUUUGUCUUCC